UGGGGAAUAUUGCGCAAUGGGCGAAAGCCUGACGCAGCGACGCCGCGUGAGGGAUGAAGGUUUUCGGAUCGUAAACCUCUGUCAGAAGGGAAGAAACCGCACUGUGCUAAUCAGCAGUGCCUUGACGGUACCUUCAAAGGAAGCACCGGCUAACUCCGUGCCAGCAGCCGCGGUAAUACGGAGGGUGCAAGCGUUAAUCGGAAUUACUGGGCGUAAAGCGCACGUAGGCUGCUUUGUAAGUCAGGGGUGAAAUCCCACGGCUCAACCGUGGAACUGGCUUUGAUACUGCUUAGCUUGAAUCCGGGAGAGGGUGGCGGAAUUCCAGGUGUAGGAGUGAAAUCCGUAGAUAUCUGGAGGAACAUCAGUGGCGAAGGCGGCCACCUGGACCGGUAUUGACGCUGAGGUGCGAAAGCGUGGGGAGCAAACAGG
rnacentral:rRNA from 1 species